rnacentral:rRNA from 1 species
AUAAGCCGGCCACCUCAUCUCGUUACCAUCUCAGAAAAAUACAUUUUGCUCGCUCUCCUUUCUUUUCCCCCCUUCACCUUUUUCCUCUUCCUCGCGGACCUCGCCUCUCCUCCCCUCCCCUCCCCUACCCAACCUCUGCGCCACCAUGCUUGCUCCAGCCGUCUACUAGGUUCGCUGCGCGGGAGCCUGGGUCCCUCGCCUCUCCCCGCCCCGCCAUGUUUGGAGUCUCCGUCGUCGCCGCCUCGAGCCUGCUCGCCGCGGCUUGAUUGAUUGGCUCCGCCAUUUUUCCUCUGGGUUUUCUAGAGUUGCCAGAGGCAUUUAUCAUAUUGUGAAAUUAAACUUUGGUGAUUCUGAUCCGGAAAGGGAAAACGUGUGAAUUGCAAACAUACAUGAUGUCUGGCUUUGGUACAAAUUCAGCCAUGGGUUCUUCGUCUCUCCCUUCUAGAGUUGUGUAUAACACAGGUAACGAUUUGCCGGUGGAAUACAUAUAUGACCAGGGUCUUUCUUAUCCAGCUACCAACGGAUAUGCUUACUAUGCAGGAUUUGAGCCACCUGUUGGAUGGAGUGAAAACACUAAUUAUUGGGGGGUAGAUGGUCAAUAUCUCCAACUGACGAACGACAAUCUUCCUUAUGUGUAUUGCACACCUGGCUAUGAAUUUUCUUAUUCUUCACAAGAUCAGUACACUUCCUAUAUGCCUGGCAUGUUCAUGGGAGUUGAUGGCUCAGUUGUAGGAAGUCAACAGUAUUUCACUAAUCCAUAUCAGCCUCCUGGCUCGCCAUCUGGUUACUUCCCAGUAUAUCUCCAGCCCACCACAGAUUUGAGCUCAGCAGUUUCUUUGGAGCCUCCUGUAUUCAGUACUGGCACAUCUGUUGCUAGUAGGCCUGUUAAUACUAGCAUAAAAGAUACACAUCAAAUGUCUGGAAAUACAAUGGCUUCUCGGACUGUCUCUUCUGCAAGUCCAGCUAUUGGUUCCUCCCAUCAUGCUUACCAGAAUCAAAGCACGAAUAAACCUUCUGAUCUGCCAGGUGCUAAUGUGGCGAGGCAUGACAAGCCUUCAACCUCACAUUUGACAGUUCUGGUUGAUACUGACAAGAAUUUUCAGGCUGCUUCAGGUAUGGGGAGCUCUGGGGACAAUGGACAAAUUACAGACAGGACAGAAGUUGUGCCAGUGGCUGCCAUGGUGGGUGAAGGUGCCCAAUCCAAAGCAGUGUCAAGCAGUGCAGUGAAAAACAUUGUGAUACAUCCUGACCAAUAUAAUAAGGCCGACUUCCCUUGUGAUCAUCCAGAUGCCAAGUUUUUUGUCAUUAAAUCUUACAGUGAGGAUGACGUGCAUAAGAGUAUCAAAUAUAAUGUGUGGUCCAGCACACCCAAUGGCAACAGAAGGCUGGAUGCUGCCUACUCAGAAGCAAAAGGGAGUCAACGGAAGUGUCCAAUAUUUCUGUUCUUUUCGGUUAAUACAAGCGGGCAGUUUUGUGGUGUUGCUGAAAUGGUCGGCCCUGUGGAUUUUCACAAAGACAUGGAUUUCUGGCAGCAAGAUAAGUGGUCUGGGAGCUUCCCACUGAAGUGGCAUCUAGUAAAGGAUGUGCCGAAUUCCACCUUUCGACACAUCAUAUUAGAGAACAACGAGAACAAGCCUGUUACCAACAGCCGAGAUACACAAGAGAUGCCUUAUAAGUCGGGAAUAAACAUGCUAAAGCUAUUUAAGAGUAGUCCAAUGACGACAUCGAUUCUUGAUGACUUCCCUUUCUAUGAAGGGAGGCAGAAAGCAAUGCUAGAACAGAAGCGCAGAAGUUUGGGCAGAAGUUUUGGUGGACUUACUUAUGUUCCAGCACUUGUUGCUAAAAGGAGUGUUGUUGUGGAGGGUGAACCUUCUGAAGUAGGUGAAGGCAUUAGCAGCAAAGAUCCACAUCCAGGGAAAACUGGAGAGGAUAGUGGUGCUUGUGAGCAACCUGACAAGACAAGCCAAACGAAAGAUGGAGUGGUUACACAAGUACUGAAAAAGGAUGCAGUGUCACCUGUUGAGCAACCUGAACAUGUAAAAACAGAACGGCAUAGCUUAGAUGAUAUUCAUCAUGAACAGAAUGAGGGCUGUUCCGUUUCUGUGUCACCAGAAAAUGCUGGAAGGGAACAUGCUGGCUUGAGCGAACUGGUAAAAUCUAAUGGAAAAGUUUAUAGUGACCGUGAAUCACAACCUGUUAUAAGCUCAACUGAACCCAAUAGUUCUGGACGAAAAGGUCUUUCUCAGGAGUCUGGUGGUCACGACCCAUCAGAUCGCAUGAAAGGCGGUGCAUCUGGGAUAACGAAGGAUGUCAAGGCUACAUUGCUCAAGAAAACAGAAGGCUUAUCAACUAGCCAUAUGGAUGGGCAAGCAAAAGGCAUUGUUAACGAGGCUCCAACUGGUGUUGUUAAGGUUGGCUCGGUGCACAUCAAACUAAAUGUGGCGGGGGGUUCGUCAUCUGAGAUUAUAGGUGAUGGUUCUCUUGAGCUGAAGGGAGCAGAACAUAUUGAGCAGGGCAUCUCAACAAAACUGAGUUAAGGAGCAACUAAUUUAUUUUCAUUUUCUGGGUGUUGUGACAUGUUAGUUUAACAUCUCUGUUUGUGUUGGUGGGGUUUAGCUGCUUUUGCUUAUGGCUACUGCAGUUGGUUUUUCAGCUUGACGACUGACAGCUUGACAUCAUGGUUGGUUUGGUUUGGGUAUAGCUCCUCUUUUGUUUCAUAAUCUCCAACAAGUGGUCAUAGUCUCAGAGGUAUUUGUGGUGAGGGAAAAUUGUUUCUGUUUGUGGUUGUGUUGGCCCUCAUCAGCAGAGAAGGCAUUUGGCAUUAUUAGGUGAAAUGUAAUCAUGUUUUUAUAUGGUACCAAUAUAUGGACUGUCAGUUGGUGACUGCUGAUGGCCGGCAACUGUGUUCUCUUUUACAGUAU